rnacentral:rRNA from 1 species
GAUGAACGCUGGCGGCGUGCCUAAUACAUGCAAGUCGAGCGAACAGACGAGGAGCUUGCUCCUCUGACGUUAGCGGCGGACGGGUGAGUAACACGUGGAUAACCUACCUAUAAGACUGGGAUAACUUCGGGAAACCGGAGCUAAUACCGGAUAAUAUAUUGAACCGCAUGGUUCAAUAGUGAAAGACGGUUUUGCUGUCACUUAUAGAUGGAUCCGCGUCGCUUUGGCUAGUUGGUAGGGUAAGGGCUAACCAAGGCAACGUUGCUUACCCGACCUGGAGGGGGGAUCGGCCACACGGGAACGGAGACACGGUCCAGACUCUUACGGGAGGCAGCAGUAGGGAAUCUUCCGCAAUGGGCGAAAGCUUGCCGGAGCAACGCCGCGGGAUGGAUGAAGGUUUUCGGUUCGUAAAACUCUGUUAUUAGGGAAGAACAAAUGUGUAAGUAACUAUGCACGUCUUGACGGUACCUAAUCAGAAAGCCACGGCUAACUACGUG